AUUCCUGCAACUAGUUGCCUCAACCAGGAGAGAUUAUGAAAACAUGAAGUUAACUUUUUCCAUAUUUCUUCAAACCCCCAGGAGGUAUCAUCCUUGGCCAUUUCAUUAAAUAUUUUGUUUCCAAAUUUCCUCCAGAUCUGUUUCAAUUCUGCCACUUUGAUCGACGUAGGAACAGCAACUUUAACUGAUUAUGGAACAAACCCCUCCUUGUGAAGCCAAUAACAUAUCUAGAGCCAUUUGGCUUUGUAAUGCCACUGGUUUUAUUUUCUAUUUCCUCUAUGGCUGCUGAGAUAUUUACGAUUGCUUUCUCUAAUUCACUUACUCCCAGAGAUGGAAUUAGCCAUCUCACAAAACUAUGAAAUGCGGUGUUCCAUUCAGCAAUAGGGUUAAGUCCUUGCUUAAUCAGUUUAGCAAAAGUUCUAUCCCAGGUUCCAGAAGGAUAUAUGUCAAUAAUAGUAAGAUUGGGUAUCAUAGCACCUAAAGUUCAUACCCCUUUCCAUUUGGGGGGUAGGGUCUUAUAAGCAUUUUCUCCACAUAAUCAAUACCAUCCUUUCCCUUCAGGAACAGGCCACCACUGAACCAUUAUACCAUCUAUAUUAAUAGUGUGAUUGCAAUCUGAAUAGUGACCUACACCUGUGGCAUUUAAACAAACAAUCUCAUACUCUGGUUCCUGGUGUAAUGCAUUUUUUUAUACAGGUAUAAUAUUCUUUAAUUGGAUUAGGAUUAACUAUCCCAAAUUUUAACCUUUCCCUUGGAUAUAGGUUGCCAGUGUUCACCCAGAAAUUAGUCCAUGAGAUAGUGUUGGGAAUUGGAAUGCCAGGUAGGUCUGGAUUUUCUCCUGAUUUAGGCAACUGUGCACACACCCAACAGUCACUAUGAUUAAAAACCUUAGUAACAUUCUGCAUUAAUUUCAGGUUUAAGUUUUGGUCCCAAGCUUGUACACCAGUUAUCAUAUAAAUCCUAAUUAUGACCAAUGCAAUUUCAUACUUAAGGGUCCUAAAGGUUCGAUCCACCAUGCCUUCUCUGGUUCUGGUGCUUGCUUUAUUCUUGGAUAAUGUAUCGAAGCAGGUUGUUCCUUUACCUUCACUGAUGUAAAGGUGGUCAGUAAUAUCUGGUACGGUCUGCUCCACUUCUCCUCUAGAGGCUCUCCUGAAAAAUUCUUAACAUAAACCUAGUCUCCAGAUCUAAAAGGGUGAAUCGGAUAAUCCAAGCUUCUUGCUCUUGUCCCUAAUAUUCUCUUAUUUAUUUCUUCUUAUUGUUUUCCCAGAUUGACCAGAAACUCUCAGAGAUAGCCUUCUCCCACUUCCAGAAGACUUUCUCCUUUAAACUGGAACUGAUAUGGUCUUCCAUAUAAAAUUUUACAUGGCCUAGUCUCUUUCGACUGAGGUUUAGUUUGAAUUCUUAAUAGAGCCAGUGGUAAGGCUUGGUACCAAUAUAAAUUCGCUUCCUGACAUAUUUUACUAAUCUGUUGUUUGAUCAGAUGGUUCAUCUUUUGUACUUGCCCACUGGCCUGAGGCCUGUAUGGAACACAUAGUUGCUAAUCAAUUUCUAAUUUUUUGCUAAUUUCUUGUAACAAUUUUGCACUAAAGUGUGAGCCUCAGUCGGAAGAAAUUGCCACUGGUACUCCAAAACAAGGUAUUGUAUCAUUUAAUAAUGUUUUAA